AGAGUUUGAUCCUGGCUCAGAACGAACGCUGGCGGCGCGUUUUAAGCAUGCAAGUCGAGCGGCAAGGGCCUUCGGGCCCCUAGAGCGGCGGACGGGUGAGUAACACGUGGACAAUCUGCCCCCCGGCCCGGGAUAGCCCAGGGAAACCUGGAUUAAUACCGGAUGAGACGGGACCCGCGAUGGCGGGACCCGGGAAAGGCGCUGCGGCGCCGCCGGGGGAUGAGUCUGCGUCCCAUUAGCUAGACGGCGGGGUAACGGCCCACCGUGGCGACGAUGGGUAGCCGGCCUGAGAGGGUGGACGGCCACAUUGGAACUGAGACACGGUCCAGACUCCUACGGGAGGCAGCAGCUAAGAAUCUUCCGCAAUGGGCGAAAGCCUGACGGAGCGACGCCGCGUGAACGAAGAAGGCCGUGAGGUUGUAAAGUUCUUUUCGGGAGGGGGAACAACCGUGGCAGGGAAUGGCCGCGGGAUGACGUGAAUCCCGGAAUAAGCCCCGGCUAACUACGUGCCAGCAGCCGCGGUAACACGUAGGGGGCGAGCGUUGUUCGGAAUCAUUGGGCGUAAAGGGCGUGCAGGCGGUCCUGCAAGUCCGGCGUGAAAGACCCCGGCCCAACCGGGGGGACGCGCUGGAAACUGCAGGGCUUGAGUACAGGAGGGGAUGCCGGAAUUCCAGGUGUAGGGGUGAAAUCUGUAGAUAUCUGGAAGAACACCAAUGGCGAAGGCAGGCAUCUGGCCAUGUACUGACGCUGAGACGCGAAGGUGCGGGGAGCAAACAGGUUUAGAUACCCUGGUAGUCCGCACAGUAAACGAUGUGCACCAGGUGGCGGGGGGUCGACCCCCGGUACCGUAGCUAACGCAUUAAGUGCACCGCCUGGGGAGUAUGCUCGCAAGGGUGAAACUCAAAGGAAUUGACGGGGGCCC
rnacentral:rRNA from 1 species